rnacentral:sRNA from 1 species
AUUUUUUAUCUUAUACAUUCAAUUUUCUAAUACAAUUAACUAUCUAUUUCAUAAAAAACUCGAUUUUAAUUCUACACACUUCAUCUUACUUGAUAAUGAUUUCAUGUCAAAAUAAUAUAUAUAUAUAUAUAUGAGAUCAAAUCUAUAUCUUAGUUAAUAUUAAAAAUUAUUAACAAUUAACAAAACAUAAUUCAUAAUAAUAAAACAUUUGUUAAUACCAUAUAUAUUAAAAAUUUGACCAAUAACAUAUAUAAUUUU